rnacentral:rRNA from 1 species
AACUAGUACCGUGAGGGAAAGGUGAAAAGAACCCCUAUUAGGGGAGUGAAAUAGAUCCUGAAACUGUAUGCUUACAAACUGUCGAAGCCCCAUGUGGGUGACGACGUACCUUUUGUAUAAUGGGUCAGUGACUUAAUUUAUGUAGCAAGCUUAAGCCGUUUAGGUGUAGGCGUAGCGAAAGCGAGUCUUAAUAGGGCGAUUAGUUGCAUGGAUUAGAACCCGAAACCGAGUGAUCUAGCUAUGAGCAGGUUGAAGGCAAGGUAAUACUUGCUGGAGGACCGAACCAGUUGACGUUGAAAAGUCUUUGGAUGACUUGUUGCUAGGGGUGAAAGGCCAAUCAAACUCGGAGAUAGCUGGUUUUCCGCGAAAACUAUUUAGGUAGUGCGUUGAGAUAUAGAUUUUGAGGGGUAGAGCACUAAAUAGGCUAGGGGGAAGAAAUUCUUACUAAACCUAAUAAAACUCCGAAUACUCAAAAUUGUUCCUCAGCAGACAGACGGUGAAUGCUAACGUCCAUCGUCGAGAGGGAAACAACCCAGACCACCAAUUAAGGUCCCCAAGUUAUGGUUAAGUGUGAAAGGAUGUGAAGACUCCAAAACAGCCGGGAGGUUGGCUUAGAAGCAGCCAUCCUUUAAAGAUAGCGUAACAGCUCACCGGUCUAAUUAAGAGACUUUGCGCCUAAGAUGUAACGGGGCUCAAACCAUACACCGAAAUUGUGGAUUGAUAGAAGUCUUCGGACUUUUAUUUCUGGUAGCGGAACGUUCUGUAAGCCUGUGAAGAGAGACCCGUGAGGGCUCUUGGAGGUAUCAGAAGUGCGAAUGCUGACAUAAGUAACGACAAACAGAGUGAAAGACUCUGUCGCCGAGAGUACAAGGGUUCCUGCGUAAAGUUAAUCUUCGCAGGGUUAGCCGGCCCCUAAGACGAGGACGAAAGUCGUAGUCGAUGGGAAUCAGGUAAAUAUUCCUGAGCCAGGUGGUAGUGACGGAUCAUGUAAAUUGUUAACUCUUAUUGGAUUGAGUUGGCUGUGAAGUGGUCCCAGGAAAUAGCUCCAUCAUAAGACCGUACCCCAAACGGACACACGUGUACCGGUAGAGUAUACCUAGGCGCUUGAGAGAAUGAUGUUGAAGGAACUCGGCAAAAUGCUUCCGUAACUUCGGGAUAAGGAAGACCCAAUAAUGGGCAACCAUAUUUGGGUGGCACAAGCCAGGGAGAAGCGACUGUUUAUCAAAAACACAGCACUCUGCUAACACGUAAGUGGAUGUAUAGGGUGUGACGCCUGCCCGGUGCUGGAAGGUUAAAGGGAGAUGUGCAAGCAUCAAACUGAAGCCCCAGUGAACGGCGGCCGUAACUAUAACGGUCCUAAGGUAGCGAAAUUCCUUGACGGGUAAGUUCCGUCCUGCAUGAAUGGCGUAACGAUUUCUCCGCUGUCUCCAACAUCAACUCAGUGAAAUUGAAUUCUCCGUGAAGAUGCGGAGUUCCCGUGGUUAGACGGAAAGACCCCGUGCACCUUUACUAUAACUUUACAUUGGUAUUAGAAAUGACAUGUGUAGCAUAGGAGGGAGACUUUGAAGUGAUGGCGCCAGCCGUCAUGGAGUCUUUAGUGAAAUACCUCUCUUGUUAUUUUUGAUAUCUAACUGCAUGCCAUUAUCUGGCUGCAAGACACUGUAUGGUGGGUAGUUUGACUGGGGCGGUCGCCUCCUAAAGAGUAACGGAGGCGUGCGAAGGUUGGCUCAGACCGGUCAGAAAUCGGUCGUUGAGUGCAAUGGCAUAAGCCAGCCUGACUGCAAGACUGACAAGUCGAGCAGAGACGAAAGUCGGAGAUCGGAAGAGCGUCGUGUAGGGAAAGAGUGUAGAUCUCGGUGGUC